UUUAUUUUGGUGCUUUCAGAUUUAAUGACUGCCUUACAGGAUUUUAGACUUGCAUAGGGCCUCUAGCCCCGUUGUUUUGGCCAAUUUUUCCCAUGUAGAAUGGGUGUAUUUUCCCAAUGCCUAUACCCUCAUUUGUCUAGGAAGUAACUAACUUGCUUUUGAUUUUACAGGCUCAUAGGUGGAAGGGACUUACCUU